rnacentral:rRNA from 1 species
AUUGAACGCUGGCGGCAGGCCUAACACAUGCAAGUCGAGCGAGCGGCGGACGGGUGAGUAAUGUCUGGGAAACUGCCUGAUGGAGGGGGAGAAAUACUGGAAACGGUAGCUAAUACCGCAUACCAUCAGAUGUGCCCAGAUGGGAUUAGCUGGUAGGUGGGGUAACGGCGAACCUAGGCGACGAUCCCUAGCUGGUCUGAGAGGAUGACCAGCCACACGGGAACUGAGCAACGGUCCAGACUCCGACGGGAGGAAGCAGUGGGAAAUAUUGCACAAUGGGCGCAAGCCUGAUGCAGCCAUGCCGCGUGUGUGAAGAAGGCCUUCGGGUUGUAAAGCACUUUCAGCGGGGAGGCGUUACCCGCAGAAGAAGCACCGGCUAACUCCGUGCCAGCAGCCGCGGUAAUAC